rnacentral:rRNA from 1 species
UACGUAGGCAGCGAGCGUUGUUCGGAGUUACUGGGCGUAAAGGGUGUGUAGGCGGUUGUUUAAGUUUGGUGUGAAAUCUCCCGGCUCAACUGGGAGGGUGCGCCGAAUACUGAGCGACUCGAGUGCGGGAGAGGAAAGUGGAAUUCCUGGUGUAGCGGUGAAAUGCGUAGAUAUCAGGAGGAACACCGGUGGUGUAGGCGGCUUUCUGGACCGUAACUGACGCUGAGACACGAAAGCGUGGGGAGCAAAUGGG